UACGAAGGGUGCUAGCGUUGUUCGGAAUCACUGGGCGUAAAGCGCGCGUAGGCGGCCAAUCAAGUCAGGGGUGAAAUGCCACGGCUCAACCGUGGAACUGCCUUUGAAACUGAUUGGCUGGAAGAUGAGAGGGGAUAGCGGAAUUUCUGGUGUAGAGGUGAAAUGCGUAGAUAUCGGGAGGAACAUCAGUGGCGAAGGCGGCCCUCUGGUCCAGUACUGACACUCAAGUGCGAAAGCGUGGGGAGCAAACAGG
rnacentral:rRNA from 1 species